rnacentral:rRNA from 1 species
GCAGUCGAGCGAGAUCUUCGGAUCUAGCGGCGGACGGGUGAGUAACGCGUGGGAACGUGCCCUUCUCUACGGAAUAGUCCCGGGAAACUGGGUUUAAUACCGUAUACGCCCUUCGGGGGAAAGAUUUAUCGGAGAAGGAUCGGCCCGCGUUGGAUUAGGUAGUUGGUGGGGUAAUGGCCUACCAAGCCGACGAUCCAUAGCUGGUUUGAGAGGAUGAUCAGCCACACUGGGACUGAGACACGGCCCAGACUCCUACGGGAGGCAGCAGUGGGGAAUCUUAGACAAUGGGCGCAAGCCUGAUCUAGCCAUGCCGCGUGAGUGACGAAGGCCCUAGGGUCGUAAAGCUCUUUCACCAGGGAUGAUAAUGACAGUACCUGGAGAAGAAACCCCGGCUAACUCCGUGCCAGCAGCCGCGGUAAUACGGAGGGGGUUAGCGUUGUUCGGAAUUACUGGGCGUAAAGCGCGCGUAGGCGGGCUGUUAAGUCGGGGGUGAAAUCCCGGGGCUCAACCCCGGAACUGCCCUCGAUACUGGCAGCCUAGAGUUCGAGAGAGGUGAGUGG